AACGAACGCUGGCGGCACGCCUAACACAUGCAAGUCGAACGAGCCCUUCGGGGCUAGUGGCGCACGGGUGCGUAACGCGUGGGAAUCUGCCCUCUGGUUCGGAAUAACUCAGGGAAACUUGAGCUAAUACCGGAUAAUGACUUCGGCCCAAAGAUUUAUCGCCAGAGGAUGAGCCCGCGUCGGAUUAGCUAGUUGGUGAGGUAAAAGCUCACCAAGGCGACGAUCCGUAGCUGGUCUGAGAGAAUGAUCAGCCACACUGGGACUGAGACACGGCCCAGACUCCUACGGGAGGCAGCAGUGGGGAAUAUUGGACAAUGGGCGAAAGCCUGAUCCAGCAAUGCCGCGUGAGUGAUGAAGGCCUUAGGGUUGUAAAGCUCUUUUACCCGGGAUGAUAAUGACAGUACCGGGAGAAUAAGCCCCGGCUAACUCCGUGCCAGCCGCCGCAGUAAUAC
rnacentral:rRNA from 1 species